GCGAGCCAGUGGACGGGCCACGGGGAUCUCCUGGGGAAGUUCCUCCCUCGCAGCAGGACGCACGGCGUCAAGAGACGCGGCCCGAGAGGGUCGGCUCCAGAACAGAAACGAGACCCGGCCCAUCAAGGGCGAUGAUAGGGCGACCUUGAGGUCGGUGGGGACCGGGAUGAAACGGCUGACCCGUGCGGAGCAAGGCCAAACGUGGUCGAUGAAACGCCUGCAGGAGACCAGGGUAGGCCGCUGAGCUGAAUCCCGUCUAGAACAGAAGGAGGACUACGGCUGGGACGC
rnacentral:RNase_P_RNA from 1 species